rnacentral:rRNA from 1 species
GAUGAACGCUAGCGGCAGGCCUAAUACACGCAAGUUGAACGGUGUCUUCGGACAUAGUGGCGCACGGGUGCGUAACACGUAUGCAACCUACCUUACAUUGGGGGAUAGCCUUUCGAAAGGGAGAUUAAUACCGCAUAAGACAGUAGCUGGGCAUCCAGCAGCUGUCAAAGAUUUAUCGAUGUAAGCUGGGCAUGCGUCCAAUUAGCAAGGUGGUGAGGUAACGGCUCACCAAGGCAAUGAUUGGUAGGGGAACUGGGAGGUCAAUCCCCAACACGGGCACUGAGAUCCGGGCCAGACUCCUACGGGAGGCAGCAGUAGGGAAUAUUGGGCAAUGGAUGCAAGUCUGACCCAGCCAUGCCGCGUGCAGGAUGAAGGCGUUAUGCGUUGUAAACUGCUUUUAUACAGGAAGAAACGACUCUUGCGAGAGGCAUUGACGGUACUGUAUGAAUAAGCACCGGCUAACUCCGUGCCAGCCGCCGCGGUAAGAC